rnacentral:rRNA from 1 species
GACGAACGCUGGCGGCUUGCUUAACACAUGCAAGUCGAACGGAAAGGCCCUGCUUUUGUGGGGUGCUCGAGUGGCGAACGGGUGAGUAACACGUGAGUAACCUGCCCUUGACUUUGGGAUAACUUCAGGAAACUGGGGCUAAUACCGGAUAGGAGCUCCUGCUGCAUGGUGGGGGUUGGAAAGUUUCGGCGGUUGGGGAUGGACUCGCGGCUUAUCAGCUUGUUGGUGGGGUAGUGGCUUACCAAGGCUUUGACGGGUAGCCGGCCUGAGAGGGUGACCGGCCACAUUGGGAGUGAGAGACGGCCCAGACUCCUACGGGAGGAAGCAGUGGGGAAUAUUGCACAAUGGGCGGAAGCCUGAUGCAGCAACGCCGCGUGCGGGAUGACGGACUUCGGGGUGUAAACCGAUUUCGCCUGUGACGAAGCGUGAGUGACGGUAAUGGGUAAAGAAGCACCGGCUAACUACGUG